rnacentral:rRNA from 1 species
UACGGGGGGAGCAAGCGUUGUUCGGAUUUACUGGGCGUAAAGGGCGCGUAGGCGGCCACCGCAAGUCGGUUGUGAAAUCUCUGGGCUUAACCCAGAAAGGUCAACCGAUACUGCGGGGCUAGAGUGCAGAAGGGGCAACUGGAAUUCUCGGUGUAGCGGUGAAAUGCGUAGAUAUCGUGAGGAACACCAGAGGCGAAGGCGGUUACCUGGACAGUUACUGACGCUCAGGCACGAAAGCAUGGGGAGCAAAAGGG